UCACCCGUCUAUUCCGGAGGAGAUAUAAGUAUUUUACCGCGUAGUGCGGAGGUUCGAAUCCUACGCAAGGCGU
rnacentral:tRNA from 1 species